GGAAACCCAAGUCACCUCAGGUUUCACUCAGUUGGGGCACACCUAAAGAGCCAGUUAAUGCUGGAAGUUUGCGUGGUUGGGACCUGCCAAAAGCAGGUGGGAGCAAUGGAAGUGAAAUACAACCACAGUGGGGCAAGUCAAAGCCACCUGAAGGUUCACAUGGUUGGGGCUCGUCCAAUGAGCCAGUUAAAGCAGCAGGUUGGAACCAGCCAAAUGCAGGGGGCAGUGAUGCAACUAAAAGACAGCAGCAGUGGGAGAAACCCAAGUCACCUGAAGCUUCACAUGGUUGGGGCCCAUCUAAGGAGCCAGUUAAAGCGGCUGGUUGGGACCUGGAAAAUGCAGGAGGUGGUGAUGGAAGUGAAAGACAGCAGCAGUGGGGGAAAUCCAAGUCAUCUGAAGUUUCACAAAGCUGGGGCUCUCCCAAAGAAUCGGUGAAAGCAGGAAGUUCCCAGGGUUGGGGCAUGCCUAAUGCCGAAGGUAGUGAAGGAGGUGAAAGACCACGACAGUGGGGAAAACCCAAAUCACCUGACGUUUCACAAGGCUGGGGCUCACCCAAAGAGUCAGUUAAAGCAGCAAGUUCCAAGGGGUGGGG
rnacentral:lncRNA from 1 species